AUUAAACGCUGGCGGCAUGCCUUACACAUGCAAGUCGAACGGUAGCGCGGGCAACCUGGCGACGAGUGGCGAACGGGUGAGUAAAGCAUCGGAACGCGCCCUGGAAUGGGGGAGUAACGUAGCGAAAGUUACGCUAAUACCGCAUAUUCUGUGAGCAGGAAAGCAGGGAGUCGCAAGACCUUGCGUUCUGGGAGCGGCCGAUGUCGGAUUAGCUAGUUGGUGGGGUAAAAGCCUACCAAGGCGACGAUCCGUAGCGGGUCUGAGAGGAUGAUCCGCCACACUGGGACUGAGACACGGCCCAGACUCCUACGGGAGGCAGCAGUGGGGGAAUUUUGGACAAUGGGCGGAAGCCUGAUCCAGCCAUGCCGCGUGAGUGAAGAAGGCCUCGGUUGUAAGAC
rnacentral:rRNA from 1 species